AUUGAACGCUGGCGGCAGGCUUAACACAUGCAAGUCGAGCGGAGUGAUGGUGCUUGCACUAUCACUUAGCGGCGGACGGGUGAGUAAUGCUUAGGAAUCUGCCUAUUAGUGGGGGACAACAUCUCGAAAGGGAUGCUAAUACCGCAUACGUCCUACGGGAGAAAGCAGGGGAUCACUUGUGACCUUGCGCUAAUAGAUGAGCCUAAGUCGGAGUAGCUAGUUGGUGGGGUAAAGGCCUACCAAGGCGACGAUCUGUAGCGGGUCUGUGAGGAUUAUCCGCCACGCUGGGACUGAGAGACGGCCCAGGCGCCUACGGGAUGCAGCAGUGGGGAAUAUUGGACAAUGGGGGGAACCCUGAUCCAGCCAUGCCGCGUGUGUGAAGAAGGCCUUAUGGUUGUAAAGCACUUUAAGCGAGGAGGAGGCUCUUUUGGUUAAUACCCAAUAUGAGUGGACGUUACUCGCAGAAUAAGCACCGGCUAACUCUGUGCCAGCCGCCGCCGUAA
rnacentral:rRNA from 1 species